AUUGAACGCUGGCGGCAGGCCUAACACAUGCCAGUCGAGCGGAUGAAGGGAGCUUGCUCCUGGAUUCAGCGGCGGACGGGUGAGUAAUGCCUAGGAAUCUGCCUGGUAGUGGGGGAUAACGUCCGGAAACGGGCGCUAAUACCGCAUACGUCCUGAGGGUGAAAGUGGGGGAUCUUCGGACCUCACGCUAUCAGAUGAGCCUAGGUCGGAUUAGCUAGUUGGUGGGGUAAAGGCCUACCAAGGCGACGAUCCGUAACUGGUCUGAGAGGAUGAUCAGUCACACUGGAACUGAGACACGGUCCAGACUCCUACGGGAGGCAGCAGUGGGGAAUAUUGGACAAUGGGCGAAAGCCUGAUCCAGCCAUGCCGCGUGUGUGAAGAAGGUCUUCGGAUUGUAAAGCACUUUAAGUUGGGAGGAAGGGCAGUAAGUUAAUACCUUGCUGUUUUGACGUUACCAACAGAAUAAGCACCGGCUAACUUCGUG
rnacentral:rRNA from 1 species